GGCGGCGUGCUGCUCAGUCCGUUUCUGAUUGAUGUGUUGCUGGCGUUGCUGGUGACCGGAGCGUUGCGCAUGGUAUUGCGCCUGACCCCGGUCGGUCGCUGGAUCUGGCACGAAGCAUUGUUUGAUUGCGCCCUG
rnacentral:sRNA from 1 species